GAGGUACAUUUUUGCCUGUAGUCCCAGCUACCUGGAGACUGAGGCAGGAGAAUUGCUUAAGUCCAUACGUUUUGAGCUAUAGUGUGCUAUGCCAAUCGGGUGUCCACACUAAGUUUGGCAUGAGUAUUGUGACCUUCUGAGAACAGGAGACCACCAGGUUGCCUAAGGAGAGGUGAACUGCCCAGGUUGGAAACAGAGAAUGUUAAAAUUCUUGUGUUGAUUAGUAGUAGUACUGUGCCAGUGAAUAAUACUGCACUCCAACCUGGGCAACAUAGCAAGACCCUAUCUCU
rnacentral:SRP_RNA from 1 species